CCCCGAAUAGCUGAGAGAGAUUAGCGCGGCUCUGAAGAAGCUGAGACGUUGGCGCGAUUCCAACUUCGGGGG
rnacentral:tRNA from 1 species